GGAAGGCUAGGGAAAGUGGGGGCCAGCUCCUGAGGGGCGGAGGAGACCUGCUUACAUAUGACGGUGGAAAGGCUGAAGUACUGAAUGCCUUCUGUGCCUCCCCAAGACCGGCCUUCAGGAAUCCCAGGACUGAGCUGAAAGGCUGGAGCCAGGAAGAUGGACCUUUAGUGGAGGAUGAUCAUGUCAAGGAAUACUGAACUGGACUUCCAUAUGCCCGUGGGCUCUGAUGGGAUGCAUCCACAAGUGCUGAGGGAGCCAGCAGAUGUCAUUGCAAGGCUACUCUGUAAUCUUUGGUCCACUGUGGCAACUAGGAGAAGUGCCCAAAGUCUGAAGGGAGGCAGAUGUCCUUCCCAUCUUCAGGAAGGCCAAGAAAGAUGACCUGGGGAUGAACAGGCAGGUCAGCCUCAUCUUGAUCCCUGGGAAGGUGAUGAAACCAUUUCCCAGCACAUGAUGGAAAAGAAAAUCAUAGGCGUAACAUGAAUUCACCAAGGGCAAGUCUUGCUUGACCAACCGUCAGCCUUAGCAGCAAACGCAUGUUGCUGACUCGUAUUCAACUCAGUGUUCACCAGGAACCCCAGACUCUUUCCUGCAGAGCUGCUUUCCAGCUGGAUGGCCCCAGCGGUUCUGCAGAUGCAGUGCUUUGCCCUUCUUGAACUCCCUGAGGUUCUUGUCCACUCAGCCUAUUGAGGGCCCUCUGGACGGCUGCAUCGCCCUCUGGUGAGUCACACAAGUCCUCCAGUUCUGUCACCAGCACUUCAAGCAGAGCAGCUGUCGUUUGUACCAUUAGAUGGGGCUGUGGUUAAAGAAUCAGGAUUUGGGACUUACAGCUUCAGAGCCAGCAGCCUGCCUUGAGGAAAGGCGGAGGGGAUGAGUGUCUGCCCUUGGUUCUGCCUUCCCACCGCAGGGAAGUGGCCUUCCCACCGCAGAGGCCUGAGGCACCAUGAGAGCAGUGGGCCUGCCAGCCAUGGAGCUGGCAUUGGGUGCCAAGGAGGAAACCUGCAUGGAGUUCAGGCACAUCAGGGUGAGUAGGAGCAGGGCGGUCAUCAUGGGAAUACCUCCACCACGGCUUUCUGUUGUGCCUUUGCACGGGGAUUGCUGGAGCACCAGCAGGGCCUGAAAGUUAUUGUAAGUCUUUUUUCUUUUUUUUUAAUUGGCUGUUGAAUCCCAAACAAAGGAAAUGGCAGGAAAAGCCACAGUGUUGUCAGCAGCAGCCAGACUUCUGGCAGCUGCUCCCUGCUACCUCCAUUAUUCCACAGCCACAUCCUCACAGCAGGCAGGAGAAGGAGGCGGCUCUGUCCUGCCCCAAACCUGCACUGCUCCUCUCUGCUGGAGGGGCAGAGGGCAGUGGGGGAUGUCCCUUGGAGCAAGGGCUGUGCUGGGACCCCCAGAGCCACCAGCAGCCUGGCCGUGGCGAGCAGGAAAAACAAUAGGAAAUGGAGACAAAGCCUUUCUGCUGCGUCCCCAGAGCCGCUUUCCGCAGGGGAAGCCGGGGCAGUUUUCCGGGCUCCCACAGGACAGCCACCUCCUCUGCCCUCCUCAGGUCUUGUCACCGCCAGGUCCCAGGCAGGGCUGGAUGGGAGGUCUCACUGCACUGCACCAACAUGUGAAUAAGCCGUAAGGCAAUAAUGGUUAAUGCUUUAGUUGGGUCCAAAGAGUUUUGGAAGCACCCUGGUGUCAGGAAUGCGAUAUGGUUAUAUCUUGUUAGAGGUCUCGCACAGCCUGUAUUGGAGGCAUUCAAGGCCGGGCUGGAUGUGGCUCUGGGCAGCCUGGUCUGCUGGUUGGUGGUCCUGCGCAUAGCAGGGGGGUUGAAACUCGGUGAUCAUUGUGGUCCUUUUCAACCCAGGCCAUUCUAUGAUUCUAUAGAUCCCACACCACCUCCAAGGCACCUGGCCACGCACAGCUGAGAGGAAAGCAGAGGGGAAUCAUGACCCAAGGCCCCCCUGCUCCUGGUGCUGGGGCCUUUGGUGGCCAAAAGGCACCUCAGCCUUUCAGACAACUAUUUGGGACCCCACUGACCUCUGCUCUGUGCCCCUAGCCUGCCCUGCUGUUCCCAGCAGCUGACAAAGAGGGGAAGGGAGCCCAACUGUGAAAUGUGGUGGUGUUAUGGCUGAGAUGCCUGGUUAUUAAAGAUGCAGGGAGAGGGAGCGUGAGGGAUCCCCUGCCGUCUGCCUCCAUGGUUGUUGCACUGCUUGAAGCAGCGUGGAUCGGAACAGGAGAGAGGCUGCUGGAACCAACUGUGCUGGGUUGGGCUUUGAAGCAAUGAACCUGGUGCAGAGGAAGGAUGACCCCUGAGACCAGGGCUGAGAAAUAUAGAAAACCAGUUCUGCUUCACACCAAGAGGAGCGAGCCACCUCAGUACAGUGCACAGCCAGGUACAGUGGUAUUUAUAGCCUUCCCUGUUAAUGAGGCCACAUUUACACAUUAAUUAGCUCUUGCUUAGUGCCUAGGAACUCCUGGUGUACUCACAGUGCCCAUGUGCAGGAGCAGGAUGAGCCCAAGUUGGGCCCAAUGGGCUUGUGCCCCUCUGAGCUGUGCUGUGUUACCCUGGAGAACAGCAGCAGGGAGGAGGAGGGAGACGGGGUCCUGCAUGGCCCCGGGUCAGCUGCAGCCACAGGAGGCACGGGGGAGGGAGGAGAGCACAGGGCAGCCUGGUGAGCUGCCCUCCUGAAGCAGAGGGUGACAGAACCAUAGGAGAAAAAUAGGUGGUAGCUGCUUCACUGCACGCUGAUUUCCCAUGAGAAUUAAUUAACAGUAGUUAAAAUAUGUUUUUUUCAUGGAAUUAUGCUUCAAUUAGGGCCAGCUGCUUGCUGGUGCCACGUAGAGCCAAAACUCUCAGCCCAUGGGGUCAGUUUGCCCCCCACAAACCCCUCGUGGCUGCUGCCCCCAGCACUGCACACACUGCAGGGCUGGAGGAAGCAGCAAGGAUGGGUCUCAGCCAGGAGAGCACUGUGCCAUUUGGGUUUAAAAAAAAAACAAACAAACAAACCAGAAACAUUUCCUCAGCUGCUUUUUAAGCAAGGUGGGUGCACUUCCUGCUGUUUGAAGCUGUUCAGUGAGGCAGUUAUAUCUUUACUGACAUCUACACUAACAGUGAAAGCAUCAGGGAGCUCAGUGCCACUCCUGGAAAUAGAACUCCACCAGUAAGGACUCCCUCAUCUGCCCCAAGGUGCCCCAGCACAGCCUGCCCCUACUGCCUGCACCCCGCAGGGGUGAGAUCAGUCACCUUGCUUCUAGGUGAGAGCAGGGAAGGCCUGGAGGUGAUGCAGCUUGCCACCAGCUGGCACUCCAGCUGCUUACAGGACCUACCCUGGGGUACUGCAGAGCCUCCACAACCUGCAGCAGCACCUCAGAACCAACAAACUGCUAUUAAAUCAACGGCAGAGGUGGCUGAUGCAGGUAGUGGUAGGACAGCAGUACCCUUUAACUCACAGCACUGCCUUCCUCUCACUUGCACUGGGCAGGGAUGUGGAGACAGAGGGAAAAAGUGCCUGAUGCCAGAAUGAGCAGGGAGACUGCUGAAGUUGGGCACCUGCAGUUGCUCUUUGCCAAGCCCCACCUUUGCAGAGUUUGAGGCAUCUCAACCCUAAGGAGCUUGCAAAGCACUGGCUGGGAUCCCAGCAUGACAAGGGGCUGGCAUCUAAUGAAAGAAAGUGACAAAGAGGGCAUCAUUAGGACACAGCUCCCAGAAGAGGGAGAGCAGAAGAUAGGGAAAGGCAGGGGGGGCUGCUCUUCAUGCUCCACCAGCCAUGACCCCGGUCUGUGAUGCUGGGUGUCACACUUGCCACCAAACACUGGCUUGCAAAUAGCUUACUUCACUGCUGUGAACUUCAAGGCUCCUCUGUUAGCGUUUAUUAACUUACUGAACAAACAGUAGCGAGGUUCAAUACCGUCUGUGGCUUUGGCUGCUUCUUCCACAGCAUUCAAAGCAAUUACUGCCAUGAAAGCAAAUGGUCCAUUUAGUGGGGGAAUCUGUAGGGCAGAAAUGAGAUCAGAUUCCUGAACAGAUGCGCCCUCCUCUAGCAGGAUGCAGUGCAUGGUAGGCCUCAAGCUGACACCAGGCAGAACCCCUCCCCUGCCUUCCCCAGUUGGCUGUGAUAUCAGAGCCAGCCCUGUAACUCCACAACAAGCACAAGGAGCUGUCAAUUUAAAGCAUUUCGUCUGCCAGGGAUGGAAAACAGGAAGGAUUCCUUUGUUGUGGGGGCAGGAGGUGGAACCAAAAUAAAAACACACCCCCAGUUCUCUGAAAGCAAGCAAGUCCCUCAACCAAGAAAAAAGCCUACUGCUCGUUUUCAGGUUCCCCAGUAAAGGAGCAAUGGUAGUCCUGCACCAGCCCUGCACUGCUCCAUACCUGCUUUGUGGCUGAGCCAAGGCCCGAGGUCUCAGGGCUGCACGUGCCUGUGCCUGGCAGCUCUCCCAGCCCUGCGUUAGCUGGCAGGGACUGCUGGAAGCCACCCAGCCUCCAGAUGCAGCUCCUCAGCAGGAGCUGGUCCUGGGGCGCAACCAGCUGGGGGCUCCUUCCUUUAUCCAGGGCUCUGCUCCUCCCCCAGUGGCACUCACACAGCCCUGCGUCAGCCUGGCAGCCUUCCUAUCACACAGAUCAUAACAUCACAGAAUGGUUUGGGUUGGAAGGGAUCUCAAAGCCCAUCCAGCCGUGGGCAGCUCAGCUGCCCGGGGCUCCAUCCAACCUGGCCUGGAGCAUCUCCAGGGAUGGGGCACCACAGCUUCUCUGGGCAGCUGUGCCAGGGCCUCACCGCUCUCUGAGUAAAGAAUUUCCUCCUCAUAUCUCACCUCCAUCUCCCCUCUUUUAGUUUAAAGCUGCACUGCUCAUUGAGGCCCAGGCAGCAGGGAAGCCCAAGACUUCUCACAUGUGCACUGUGUCUCUCAGAUUUGUUCUACUCACCAUCUUCAGUAGGUGUGAAGGAAAAUUCACAAGUAAUCAAGCUUGCCAAAUCUCUAGCCAGUGUAGGUUGGAGUGAGAGGGGAUCAGGUUGGUUUCAGUCACGCUAAAAAAGAACCCAUUGAAGCUGAAGGGCACGACUGUGUGUCCUGAGACCACCCGCGUGACAAAUUGUCACACUCCAGAAAAACAAUGCACUCCAAAAGUUCAACGUGCAGGAGUCUGUAAGCACACAUUCUGACAGGAAAAAUGCACUUUGGAUCCUUCCAAACCAGAUGCCAGUGCUAAUUUCAAGCAGGCACUACAACGUGUCCUAGAGCAGACGUUAAUGAGUCUGGUCCCCAGACAGCCGCAUCACCUAAUGGCUGCCGUAAGACAGGAUAAAGGGCUGCAGGAGCCCAGCUCAGCUCUGCAUCACAAGUGGAAGCAUCUAAAAGCAUCACUGGCUUUAAAUUCAGCAGGUCAUUUUUCUAAGCCAUAUCUGCUAUUACACAACAAAAAAAGAACAACAGAAGGUCGUCUUCUAUCUCCUCCAGCAGCUCUUGCAUUAACCCCACCUUUGUUUGCCUCCUUAUCGCAGAGCCUGUCUUUGAGAGACUCCCAGGCCUGGCAAGGGAAGCGUUACCUCCGGUUGAGUUAUGCCAACAGUACCCAGGCACAGCUUCAAAAUGUGCUGUAAUAAAUUUCACUAGCGGGAAGUUAUAAUCCAAAGUAACUAAACUAAUUUAAACAAAAAGGCAAAGUCACCUUUCAUACCAUCCUUCCUCCACAAACCCCACCUAACCAGCAGCAAGCAGGAGAUCCAUCCAAAAUAAGAGAGACUCUUUGGACACAUGAGAGAUGAGGCGGUGCACUCAUGGCAGGGCACUGAGAGAGCCGGAGCUUAAAUAAUUUCUUCUGUGACACAGUGGAAAAAAGUCCAGUAAGAAUGACAAUUCAUCAAACUUGAAAAGACAAACGAGGGCCAGAAAUGCAACAGCCAAAGAUUCUACAGGAAUAAAACCAAGACAGCACAUCUGGUCUCAGCAGGCACGCGCACGUGGCACCUCCAGUACCCUCACUGAAUGCUCCCAAGUAGCAGUGCCUACACCUGAGCUGUAGCACUGCAUGCUUAAGUGCCGUCGCCUGUGUAAUUCCUGAUCCUUCGGUCUUUUCCCUUAUGAAUUCCUCUGCCUUGAUGACUUUACCCGCACUGUCGUUGUAUUCCUCGUCCCGACUCUCUCUUUCCAAAGGAGGAAGUGAGUAUUUCAUUUGCAUACUGGAAUUUCUAGAUUUGUUUCUCUAAUCUAGAAACAGGAGAUGCAUGAAGCAGUUCUGAAGUGAAGGACAACACCGGUAGAUAACAGCUGCAGACGUGCUACAUUCAGAGGCAUUUGUAUCAAGUUCAGCAGGGCCGUUAUCAACUUGAUAGAAGUCCCAGAUAAGUUAAACCUCAGUUACUCACCUUUUUAUGUGCCCUUCUGGAUGCUCCCAGGGAAGUUGUCCUUUGUUUUUACUUCAUGGCUAUGAGCUGCUUGGCAUCAGAAGCGUGUGAUCGCAUUUUGUCUAGCAUUAGUUCUCUAUGUGACAAACUACUCCAUUAAAACAGACUUUACGCAGCACAACCCUGGCAGACAGCAAGUUAUGAAUAAUGUGAUUUAUUCUGCAAUUCUGGGCUCUGUUCAAGAUACCAAAGCAGAGAAUACUUCUCUAUUAAUCCUCUUCGGAAAUCUUCAGACAACCUCACCCGUGUGCUUAGAGCUCACUCCGAAUUUCUUGAGAAGUCAGCAGCUAACAAGCUUUGUAGGGAGUCUCAGCAUGGAGGUGUGUUGUUACGUGUUAGCACGGUUGUGUUGUUUUCUUCUGUGCAGCUCACCCUCUAUAAGAGACACCACGCAACACACCACGAAACUCACUUUCAGACUGCUCAUCCGAAUCCAUAAAGUUUCAGGGGAAAAAUGAAAGCCACAUUUUAACAGAAUGUGACCUCAGGUGUAAAUUUAUUCACAGCAACUUUCAUCGGUGAUUGAAGUGAGGCGUAUUAAAAAGUUAAGUUUCAAAUGUACGCACGUUCCUGCCUAAGUACUGCUUCUGGCAAGUACUGAAACUAUCAAGAAAAACAACAAAAAAACACCAUUAUGGUUUUAAUUUUGGGUGGUCCUGAGCAGAGCCAGGAGCUGCACUCAGCAAUCCCUGUGGUUCCCUUCCAGCGUGGGACAUUCCAUGGUUAGCAAAGUGUCUUUCUCAUUAGAGUGUACAGUAGGCACUAAUGGCGUGUGGGCUCAAACGUGCUGGAGGAUGUCAGUGAAACAGGAGGUAGCCAACCAAGAAGCCAAUACCUGCACACCAAGGAACCACAGGAUGGAGUGUAGAAAGCUUUAAUAAAAGCAAACGAAACACAACUCACACCGACUGCGCUGUGUGGUGAACCAUGAAGAACAGGGAAGGUUCCAAACUCACCAUCAACGCAAAUAAGAGAGAGAUCUGAACAGCAACAAAGCUUGCUUUUCCUUAGCUCUAUUACUAAGUUAGGGAGCCCGUUUCAGCUCCAGACUCUACCCAGCAGUAUACACAGCAAGCUUGCAGACAGAUUUUAAGCUCUGAAAAAACCCCUGACAUAUUACAGUACUUCAGCCAAGGUAGUAACCCUCGUUUGUUCCCUAAAGCACCUGGAAGUACUUAGGCCACAGAUGGAAGAGAAAAAGGGAAGGGAAAAGAUGCACCCAGAUACAGGAGAAGAAUUUUUUAAUCAAAUAUAACCCAAAGGUAGCGUUUAAGAAUCAAGACUAAAACCAGGCAUCAUUUAAUGUAUUUUAAUAGCAAACUUACAGGAACAGCACAGAAGACAGACAACAUUAAAAACAUGUACUUGCAUGUAGGACAACUCAGUUAGAAAAGUAGAGUGAAUGGAUGGAAACUACUGUAUGAUAAAAAUGCUACAAACACCAUUUAGUUGCCAUUGGUAAGAAAUUUACUCGUUUAAAAAAAUCCAAAUGCUGGCAUUGUCCAGAAAAAUUUGACAGGCUUAUUUAUACUUUUUUUUUCUUUUUUUUUUUAUAAAGUUGAAUUGUUGAAACUUGUUCACCCAGACUUGUUUGUGACCGCAUUAACGUUUUGUCCCCUCGUUUCUAUUAAAAAUCCACACACAAAUGAAAAUGGAAAAAAAACUUGCCAAUACCCAAUUCUGACCCCUAUUUUUCCAUUUGCAACCAUAUACUUAGGUACCUUUCAACCCCAUGGAAAAAAUAUCUAACGUUCAUUACUACCAAUAACA